rnacentral:lncRNA from 1 species
CUUUACUUAUAUCUCAGUAGUCAUCCAAUUUCUGUCUUUCUCUUCUCUCUCAAUACGUAAAUGAAGUGUGCAGUGUUAACAAUGACGGGAAGCACAACAGUGAAAGUAAUAAACCAGUUUGCUGCCUUCUCCCCUGCGUCACAGAUGGACAAACUCCCUUAGGACACUCGUGUGAUGGGAUCCUGCAAUGGAGGAUUGGGAAGAGCACCUUCACCAAAGGAAUGCUGACUGGGACCAGAAGGCGAGAAUAACAAGAAGUCCAAGAAAGAAUACAGGUGAAAUUUCUUCCCAUGAGUGGAAAGUGUUUCUUUUGUGAAUUUUAUUCAUAUGAAAUGAUAGGAAAUGGAAAUUAAAAUGAAAACCAACUAGUGGAAUUUGAAAAGGCAAAUCAG